rnacentral:rRNA from 1 species
GCUAAACGCGAAGAACCUUACCUACUCUUGACAUCUAGCGAAGAUUGCAGAGAUGCAGUUGUGCCUUCGGGAACGCUAAGACAGGUGCUGCAUGGCUGUCGUCAGCUCGUGUUGUGAAAUGUUGGGUUAAGUCCCGCAACGAGCGCAACCCUUAUCCUUAGUUGCCAGCACGUAAUGGUGGGAACUCUAGGGAGACUGCCGGUGAUAAACCGGAGGAAGGUGGGGACGACGUCAAGUCAUCAUGGCCCUUACGAGUAGGGCUACACACGUGCUACAAUGGUACGUACAGAGGGAGGCAAGCUGGCGACAGUGAGCGGAUCUCUUAAAGCGUAUCGUAGUCCGGAUCGCAGUCUGCAACUCGACUGCGUGAAGUCGGAAUCGCUAGUAAUCGCAAAUCAGAAUGUUGCGGUGAAUACGUUCCCGGGUCUUGUACACACCG